rnacentral:rRNA from 1 species
CGUAAAGCGUACGCAGGCGGUUUGUUAAGCGAGAUGUGAAAGCCCCGGGCUCAACCUGGGAACUGCAUUUCGAACUGGCAAACUAGAGUGUGAUAGAGGGUGGUAGAAUUUCAGGUGUAGCGGUGAAAUGCGUAGAGAUCUGAAGGAAUACCGAUGGCGAAGGCAGCCACCUGGGUCAACACUGACGCUCAUGUACGAAAGCGUGGGGAGCAAACGGGAUUAGAUACCCCGGUAGUCCACGCCGUAAACGAUGUCUACUA